UCUAGCAGUUGGUACCAGACUCCAGUGUUUCGGAACUUCCUGUUAUCUGAUCAUCUCCAUCUUUUCCUGGGUUCCAUUUUCUCAAUAAAAGCUCCGUAAAUCGUUUAGAACGUCUGAAUCGGCUAACGGAGGAUCAGGAGGAUCUGGCAACGCUGGGCUGACGUUUCCGGACUGCCCCGAAGACUACUUUAAGUGCAAGACCGGCGGGGCGU